AGUAACGCGUGAGGAACCUGCCUCAAAGAGGGGGACAACAGUUGGAAACGGCUGCUAAUACCGCAUAAGCCCACGGCUCGGCAUCGAGCAGAGGGAAAAGGAGUGAUCCGCUUUGAGAUGGCCUCGCGCCGAUUAGCUAGUUGGUGAGGUAACGGCCCACCAAGGCGACGAUCGGUAGCCGGACUGAGAGGUUGAACGGCCACAUUGGGACUGAGACACGGCCCAG
rnacentral:rRNA from 1 species